AUGCAGUCGAGCGGUAGAGAGGAGCUUGCUUCUCUUGAGAGCGGCGGACGGGUGAGUAAUGCCUAGGAAUCUGCCUGGUAGUGGGGGAUAACGUUCGGAAACGGACGCUAAUACCGCAUACGUCCUACGGGAGAAAGCAGGGGACCUUCGGGCCUUGCGCUAUCAGAUGAGCCUAGGUCGGAUUAGCUAGUUGGUGAGGUAAUGGCUCACCAAGGCGACGAUCCGUAACUGGUCUGAGAGGAUGAUCAGUCACACUGGAACUGAGACACGGUCCAGACUCCUACGGGAGGCAGCAGUGGGGAAUAUUGGACAAUGGGCGAAAGCCUGAUCCAGCCAUGCCGCGUGUGUGAAGAAGGUCUUCGGAUUGUAAAGCACUUUAAGUUGGGAGGAAGGGCAGUUGCUUAAUACGUAACUGUUUUGACGUUACCGACAGAAUAAGCACCGGCUAACUCUGUGCCAGCAGCCGCGGUAAUACAGAGGGUGCAAGCGUUAAUCGGAAUUACUGGGCGUAAAGCGCGCGUAGGUGGUUUGUUAAGUUGGAUGUGAAAUCCCCGGGCUCAACCUGGGAACUGCAUUCAAAACUGACUGACUAGAGUAUGGUAGAGGGUGGUGGAAUUUCCUGUGUAGCGGUGAAAUGCGUAGAUAUAGGAAGGAACACCAGUGGCGAAGGCGACCACCUGGACUGAUACUGACACUGAGGUGCGAAAGCGUGGGGGAGCAAACAGGAUUAGAUACCCUGGUAGUCCACGCCGUAAACGAUGUC
rnacentral:rRNA from 1 species